GCCGGCUUAGCUCAGUUGGUAGAGCGGCUGAUUUGUAAUCAGUAGGUCGGGGGUUCGAAUCCUCCAGCCGGCA
rfam:Methyloceanibacter superfactus strain R-67175 contig_10, whole genome shotgun sequence.